rnacentral:rRNA from 1 species
CAGUAGCCGCGGUAAUACAGAGGGUGCGAGCGUUAAUCGGAUUUACUGGGCGUAAAGCGUGCGUAGGCGGCUUCUUAAGUCGGAUGUGAAAUCACUGAGCUUAACUUAGGAAUUGCAUUCGAUACUGGGAAGCUAGAGUAUGGGAGAGGAUGGUAGAAUUCCAGGUGUAGCGGUGAAAUGCGUAGAGAUCUGGAGGAAUACCGAUGGCGAAGGCAGCCAUCUGGCCUAAUACUGACGCUGAGGUACGAAAGCAUGGGGAGCAAACAGGAUUAGAUACCCGCGUAGUCCCUGUCUCUUAUAC